AGCUCCAAUAGCGUAUAUUAAAGUUGUUGCAGUUAAAAAGCUCGUAGUUGGAUUUCUGAAUUGGAUAUCCGGUCCGCUUGUGUUAUCAUAAGUGUGUACUAUAGGAUAUUUGAUUCAUUAUUUGUGAGGAAAUUUAUCUGUCAUUAAGUUGAUGGAUUUAUGGACUUGCAUCAUUUACUGUGAAAAAAUUAGAGUGUUUAAAGCAGGCGUUUGCUCUUGAAUACAUUAGCAUGGAAUAAUAAAAUAUGACUUUGGUGGUCUAUUUUGUUGGUUUGCACACCAGAGUAAUGAUUAAUAGGGACAGUUGGGGGUAUUCAUAUUUUAGCGUCAGAGGUGAAAUUCUUGGAUCGCUGAAAGAUGAGCUUAGGCGAAAGCAUUUACCAAGGAUGUUUUCAUUAAU
rnacentral:rRNA from 1 species